rnacentral:rRNA from 1 species
CUGAGGAGCGAAAGCAUGGGGAGCGAACAGGAUUAGAUACCCUGGUAGUCCAUGCCGUAAACGUUGGGCACUAGGUGUGGGGGACAUUCCACGUUUUCCGCGCCGUAGCUAACGCAUUAAGUGCCCCGCCUGGGGAGUACGGCCGCAAGGCUAAAACUCAAAGGAAUUGACGGGGGCCCGCACAAGCGGCGGAGCAUGCGGAUUAAUUCGAUGCAACGCGAAGAACCUUACCAAGGCUUGACAUGGACCGGAAAGACCUGGAAACAGGUGCCCCGCUUGCGGCCGGUUUACAGGUGGUGCAUGGUUGUCGUCAGCUCGUGUCGUGAGAUGUUGGGUUAAGUCCCGCAACGAGCGCAACCCUCGUUCUAUGUUGCCAGCGGUUCGGCCGGGGACUCAUAGGAGACUGCCGGGGUCAACUCGGAGGAAGGUGGGGACGACGUCAAAUCAUCAUGCCCCUUAUGUCUUGGGCUUCACGCAUGCUACAAUGGCCGGUACAAAGGGUUGCGAUACUGUGAGGUGGAGCUAAUCCCAAAAAGCCGGUCUCAGUUCGGAUUGGGGUCUGCAACUCGACCCCAUGAAGUCGGAGUCGCUAGUAAUCGCAGAUCAGCAACGCUGCGGUGAAUACGUUCCCGGGCCUUGUACACACCGCCCGUCAAGUCACGAAAGUUGGUAACACCCGAAGCCGGUGGCCUAACCCUUGUGGGGGGAGCCGUCGAAGGUGGGACCGGCGAUUGGGACUAAGUCGUAACAAGGUAGCCG